rnacentral:rRNA from 1 species
UACCCUAUUAUAAAAAUUUAAAUUAAUUUACUAAAAGAUUAAUAGUUAUGUUCUUUAAAUUUAAAAAAUUUGGCGGUAUUUUAGUCUUAUUAGAGGAACCUGUUUUUUAAUUGAUAAUCCACGAUUAAUUUUACUUAUUUUUAUAAUUUAUAUAUCGCUGUCAUGAAUAUAUUUAAAAAUUUAUUUUCUUUAUUUAUUUUUAUAAUUUAUGUUAAGUCAAGAUGUGGUUUAUAAAUAAGUUUAUAAUGGGUUACAUUAAAUUUUAUUUAUGGAUUUAAAAUGAAAAUUAAUAUGAAAUUGGAUUUAAUAGUAAAUUUAAUA